rnacentral:rRNA from 1 species
UAAUACGGAGGAUCCGAGCGUUAUCCGGAUUUAUUGGGUUUAAAGGGUGCGUAGGUGGCUUUGUAAGUCAGUGGUGAAAGUUUUCAGCUUAACUGGAAAAUUGCCAUUGAUACUGCAGGGCUUGAGUGCAGAUGAGGUAGGCGGAAUGUGUCAUGUAGCGGUGAAAUGCAUAGAUAUGACACAGAACACCGAUUGCGAAGGCAGCUUACUAAACUGUAACUGACACUGAGGCACGAAAGCGUGGGGAUCAAACAGGAUUAGAUACCCUGGUAGUCCACGCCCUAAACGAUGAUCACUCGAUGUGUGCGAUAUACAGUACGCGUCCAAGCGAAAGCGUUAAGUGAUCCACCUGGGGAGUACGCCGGCAACGGUG